UUUCGCAAUGCCCGAAAGGGUGACGAAGCGACGCCGCGUGUGGGAAGAAGGCCUUCGGGUUGUAAACCACUGUCGGGAGUUAGGAAAUGUAAGGGUGCUAAUAGUAUCCUUACUUGACUAAGGCUCCGGAGGAAGCCACGGCUAACUCUGUGCCAGCAGCCGCGGUAAUACAGAGGCGGCAAGCGUUGUUCGGAAUUAUUGGGCGUAAAGAGCACGUAGGCGGCCUUGUAAGUCAGUUGUGAAAGCCUUCUGCUUAACGGAAGAACAGCAGCUGAUACUGCAAGGCUAAAGUGCGGAAGGGGAGAGUGGAACUUCUGGUGGAGCGGUGAAAUGCGUAGAUAUCAGAAGGAACACCGGCGGCGAAGGCGACUCUCUGGUCCGUAACUGACGCUGAAUGUGCGAAAGCUAGGGGAGCAAACGGGAUUAGAUACCCCGGUAGUCCUAGCCGUAAACGAUGGGCACUAAGUAGAGGGGUUUUA
rnacentral:rRNA from 1 species